GUGCUUGCAUCAGCAGCACAUAUACUAGAAGUUGGAAUGAUAUAGAAAGAUUAGUAUUACCCCUGUGCAAGGAUGACAUGCAAAUUUGUGAAGUGUUCAUAGUUUUU
rnacentral:snRNA from 1 species